rnacentral:rRNA from 1 species
GAUGAACGCUGGCGGCGUGCCUAAUACAUGCAAGUCGAGCGAACAGUCGAGGAGCUUGCUCCUCUGACGUUAGCGGCGGACGGGUGAGUAACACGUGGAUAACCUACCUAUAAGACUGGGAUAACUUCGGGAAACCGGAGCUAAUACCGGAUAAUAUAUUGAACCGCAUGGUUCAAUAGUGAAAGACGGUUUUGCUGUCACUUAUAGAUGGAUCCGCGCCGCAUUAGCUAGUUGGUAAGGUAACGGCUUACCAAGGCAACGAUGCGUAGCCGACCUGAGAGGGUGAUCGGCCACACUGGAACUGAGACACGGUCCAGACUCCUACGGGAGGCAGCAGUAGGGAAUCUUCCGCAAUGGGCGAAAGCCUGACGGAGCAACGCCGCGUGAGUGAAGAAGGUCUUCGGAUCGUAAAACUCUGUUAUUAGGGAAGAACAAAUGUGUAAGUAACUAUGCACGUCUUGACGGUACCUAAUCAGAAAGCCACGGCUAACUACGUG